rnacentral:lncRNA from 1 species
UAUGUGGGGUCCCUGGGAGUGGGCACCCCCUGUCCACUCCUGCCACUGGACUUACCAAGUGCUCACCCAUGCUCUCUGUUCCUCUGGGCUGGUGUAGGAUUCCACGUGGCCACAAAAGAGGCAGCAUGCUAUCAACUGUGAGAGAAGAGGGGCUGUUCCCUGGGGCUGAGGAGGGCAAGACCAAGGUCCGCCCAGAGGAGACAGCCUAGCAUGUUCAGGGAAGAACUGACAGACUUAGGGGCACCUUGGAGAUCCUGCCCAGGCUGACCAGGGCUUGGGCAACAUGUGGGUGAGAGGUCACAGGAGGGGCUGCAGAGGUAGACAGUGAAGAACCGUAAAUGUUAAACGGAGAGAGGCAAGUUCAGAAAGGCUUCUGCGAUCCUUGCCACAAUCCCAUGAAUUAUUUUCAUGUCCUCAGUUGGCAGAUGAGCUACAGCUCAGAGAGGUUGAGUGAGUUGCCCCAGGUCACGUGGCUAAUGAAUGGCAUGGACAGGAUUCAAAUCUGCUCCCUUGGUUCUGAAGCCCAAGCUCUUUACCCAGCUUGAUGCAGGUGGGUGGAAUUCGUGGGUUGGAUGAGAAGCCCAGGCCAGGCCAUUUCCUGCAGCCCCUCUCAGUUUCCCUGUUCAUAGAUACUGGCUUCCCUGUCUACGUGUACAAAUUGAGCACCACACUCCCAGCAUCAUUACCAAUCCCGCACUGAUGGUGCAGACCAUGGGGAUGAGAUCGGCUUCAUCUUCUGGAGGCCCUUCUCCAAAGGGGCUACAGCCCCACCUGCCACCCACGCUGGACUUCCAGUCUCCCCACCUUUGUAUUCUGACCCACCUUCCAUUGCUGAUCACAUGUCAGCACCCCAUGCUCUCUUCCAAAGGCCACAUUCCAUUCUGCCUCCAGGAAGGAGAAGGUGCUGAGCCUCUGGAUGAUGAAAUACUGGGCCAACUCUGCCAGCACAGGGUGACCAGUACAUCUACAGUACUCAGCAUGUCUGGAAAAGAAUAAUUUUCUGAAGAGUGAGGAUGCAAUCAUAUCUGAACAACAAACUCUCAGUUGUGGGACCAACAUAGCACGGAAACAGCCUCCAGGUGUUAGCUUUGUUUUCCCGCCAUGCCC